GUAUUGAUUGGUGCUUGCAUCAUGAUUUACAUUUGAGUGAGUGGCGAACUGGUGAGUAACACGUGGGAAACCUGCCCAGAAGCGGGGGAUAACACCUGGAAACAGAUGCUAAUACCGCAUAACAACUUGGACCGCAUGGUCCGAGUUUGAAAGAUGGCUUCGGCUAUCACUUUUGGAUGGUCCCGCGGCGUAUUAGCUAGAUGGUGGGGUAACGGCUCACCAUGGCAAUGAUACGUAGCCGACCUGAGAGGGUAAUCGGCCACAUUGGGACUGAGACACGGCCCAAACUCCUACGGGAGGCAGCAGUAGGGAAUCUUCCACAAUGGACGAAAGUCUGAUGGAGCAACGCCGCGUGAGUGAAGAAGGGUUUCGGCUCGUAAAACUCUGUUGUUAAAGAAGAACAUAUCUGAGAGUAACUGUUCAUGGGUUAUAAAUUUUGGGAGGUUCCCGCGGGGUAUUAAGUUAGAAGGUGGGGUAACGGCUCCCCCAUGGCAAUGAUAACGUAGCCGACCUGAGAAGGGUAAUCGGCCCACAUUGGGACUGAGACACGGCCCCAAACUCCUAAGGGGAGGCAGCAGUAGGGAAUCUUCCCACAAUGGACGAAAGUCUGAUGGAGCAACGCCGCGUGAGUGAAGAAGGGUUUCGGCUCGUAAAACUCUGUUGUUAAAGAAGAACAUAUCUGAGAGUAACUGUUCAGGUAUUGACGGUAUUUAACCAGAAAGCCACGGCUAACUACGUGCCAGCAGCCGCGGUAAUACGUAGGUGGCAAGCGUUGUCCGGAUUUAUUGGGCGUAAAGCGAGCGCAGGCGGUUUUUUAAGUCUGAUGUGAAAGCCUUCGGCUCAACCGAAGAAGUGCAUCGGAAACUGGGAAACUUGAGUGCAGAAGAGGACAGUGGAACUCCAUGUGUAGCGGUGAAAUGCGUAGAUAUAUGGAAGAACACCAGUGGCGAAGGCGGCUGUCUGGUCUGUAACUGACGCUGAGGCUCGAAAGUAUGGGUAGCAAACAGGAUUAGAUACCCUGGUAGUCCAUACCGUAAACGAUGAAUGCUAAGUGUUGGAGGGUUUCCGCCCUUCAGUGCUGCAGCUAACGCAUUAAGCAUUCCGCCUGGGGAGUACGGCCGCAAGGCUGAAACUCAAAGGAAUUGACGGGGGCCCGCACAAGCGGUGGAGCAUGUGGUUUAAUUCGAAGCUACGCGAAGAACCUUACCAGGUCUUGACAUACUAUGCAAAUCUAAGAGAUUAGACGUUCCCUUCGGGGACAUGGAUACAGGUGGUGCAUGGUUGUCGUCAGCUCGUGUCGUGAGAUGUUGGGUUAAGUCCCGCAACGAGCGCAACCCUUAUUAUCAGUUGCCAGCAUUAAGUUGGGCACUCUGGUGAGACUGCCGGUGACAAACCGGAGGAAGGUGGGGAUGACGUCAAAUCAUCAUGCCCCUUAUGACCUGGGCUACACACGUGCUACAAUGGAUGGUACAACGAGUUGCGAACUCGCGAGAGUAAGCUAAUCUCUUAAAGCCAUUCUCAGUUCGGAUUGUAGGCUGCAACUCGCCUACAUG
rnacentral:rRNA from 2 species